GGUUUGGUGGUCUAGUGGUAUGAUUCUCGCUUAGGGUACACCCUAUGCUGCAGCAUGCGAGAGGUCCCGGGUUCAAUCCCCGGCCAAACCC
rnacentral:tRNA from 1 species